rnacentral:rRNA from 1 species
UUUUCGUCAAUGGGGGCAACCCUGAACGAGCAACGCCGCGUGGAGGAUGACGGCCUUCGGGUUGUAAACUCCUUUUGUGGGGGAUGAUACAGACAGUACCCCGCGAAUAAGGCUCGGCUAACUCUGUGCCAGCAGCCGCGGUAAGACAGAGGAGCCAAGCGUUGUCCGGAUUGACUGGGCGUAAAGCGCACGCAGGCGGCUCUGUGCGUGGGGUGUGAAAGCUCUUGGCUUAACUAAGAGAGGCCAUCCCAUACGGCAGAGCUCGAGCCGUGCAGAGGUCCGCGGAAUUGCCGGUGUAGUGGUGAAAUGCGUAGAGAUCGGCAGGAACACCCAGGGGGAAACCAGCGGACUGGGCAUGUGCUGACGCUCAGGUGCGACAGCGUGGGGAGCGAAC